AGUCCUAGAGAGGACAGGAAAAGAAGGCACCCCGAGCCCAAGCGAAGGGUUAAAAGGCCUGGCGCCGGAGUCCUAGAGAGGAGGGCGGGCGCAGGUCCCUGGCUGGUCUCUUCCGGCUCGGCUCUCUCUCCUCCCGGGAGCCUCGGAGGGCGAGUCUCUUUCUUCCCCCGGGGGUUCGCGGGGGAGCCAGUCCCGGGCCCCCCGGGGCAGGAGGGAGCUGAGCACCUCGGCUCUUCCUCGGGGCCCAGGCGCCGCUUGCCGCCCUGUGGAGGUCGGGGGGAAACGGGCGGGCAAAGAAGGAGAGACAAAGCAGAGGGAUUAUUAACAGACGGGGUCGCCAGACAGAACCAGUUGGACAUAAAUACCUACGCAAAAAAUGAAAAUGAGCACCUGAGCCAGGCAAUCCGUAGAGAAAGACGGUCGGAAGAUUGAAGGCGGAGACAAGAAAGCGCGUCUUCCUGCGGUGAACUAUGGAUCUCCCUCCCGCAGGAAGGGCGGGUUGUUAACCCCCCGGGGGUGGGACGCGGGAAUCUCGCCUGGCAGCUCUCCGCCCUCACAAGACUCCAGCAACCAGGGCCGGAAUGUAAAUGCAGGCAUGUGAUAUAACAGCCCCUCACAUCUGCAGCAGGAGGAUUGAAAUGCCCACCAUUCCGAGCUAACCACGUUCCCCAGGAUUCUUUGGCUCUUUCACGGGGUCUGAUUCUGCUUUGAAGGUACAUUGCAGCGCUGUCCCUUGGCUCCACCCCCACGUGCUUUGAACUUACCCCCGUCAUCCUCAGGGGGUUGGCCAGGACUUGCUAGUGCUUCUAAUUGGGACAGACAGAACUUGGCAGAAGAAAAAGGGAUCUCCGCAAGGCUUCAUGAGAGCACAAAUGGAUGAGCAAGACUCAGCUGACCCUGAAGCAGGAAGAGGCCAUGCUAUCAAAACUGGGAGCAGUGGGAGUUUCUGGGGAAACUCGCUGCAGAAGGUCCUGGGUGAGGAGGACACCCUCUGCUCAGAGGUGCAGAGCCAGCAGUUCAGGCAGCUCUGUUCCCUGGAGACUGAAGGACCCCGAGAAGUUUGCAACCAAUUUUACCGUCUUGAUGGUCAGUGGCUGAAGCCAGAAAGGCAUACAAAAGUUCAGAUGCUGGACCUGGUGAUCAUGGAGCAGUUCCUGGCUGUCCUUCCACUAGAGAUGGAG